ACAGCUGGGCCGGCGGCUCUGCGGCGCGGGAGGUCGUCCCUGCAGCUCGGCUGUCGGAGUGGGCUGCGCGCACCUGUCCCGAGCUGGAAUGCUUGCAGCUUUCUCUACAGGAUUAUAAGCUUUGAUGUUCAGAAGAGCAAAACUGAAAGAUGCCAUCUGAGAGGUGCCUGAGCGUUCAAGAAAUGUUGACAGGUCAGAGGCUUUGUCAGUCGAGUUCCCAUAAUGAUGCUGUUCUGGCAGCUCUGAACCAACAAAGAAGUGAUGGCAUACUUUGUGAUAUCACCCUUAUUGCUGAAGAGCAGAAAUUUCACGCACAUAAGGCAGUCUUGGCAGCCUGUAGUGACUACUUUCGAGCAAUGUUCAGUCUCUGCAUGGUUGAAAGUGAAGCUGAUGAGGUGAAUUUGCAUGGUGUCACAAGCCUAGGUUUAAAACAGGCCCUGGACUUUGCAUAUACUGGACAGAUCCUUUUGGAGCCAGGGGUGAUACAAGAUGUGCUAGCAGCUGGGAGUCAUUUGCAGCUGCUGGAGCUUCUCAGUUUAUGUUCUCAUUAUCUCAUACAGGAAUUAAAUAGUUUUAAUUACUUGGACCUGUAUAAGCUUGCGGACCUCUUCAACCUCACUUUGUUGGAGAAUGCAGUGGUUGACUUCUUAGUAAAACAUCUCUCUGAGCUAUUGAAGAGUCAUCCUGAAGAAGUUCUGGCACUCCCAUACUGUCUCCUUCGAGAGGUUUUUAAAAGUGAUAGACUCACUUCACUCAGUGAAGAACAAAUCUGGCAGUUGGCUGUAAGGUGGUUGGAGCACAACUGCCACUACCAGUACAUGGAUGAGCUUCUCCAGUACGUCCGCUUUGGCCUUAUGGAUGUGGAUACACUGCAUACUGUAGCUCUUUCUCAUCCUCUCGUCCAAGCUAGUGAAACUGCAACGGCACUUGUUAAUGAGGCCUUGGCUUACCACCAGAGCAUCUAUGCACAGCCAGUUUGGCAAACCAGAAGGACAAAACCCCGCUUCCAGUCAGACACUCUUUACAUUAUUGGUGGGAAAAAGCGUGAAAUCUGUAAAGUGAAGGAAUUGCGCUACUUCAACCCAGUCGAUCAGGAGAACGUUCACAUUGCAGGGAUUGCGAACUGGAGUGAGCUUGCGCCAAUGCCCAUGGGGAGAAGCCACCACUGCGUUGCUGUCAUGGGAGACUUUCUGUUUGUGGCGGGUGGGGAAGCUGAGCACUCCACAGGGCGCACCUGUGCCGUGAGGACUGCCUGUCGCUAUGACCCCCGAAGCAACUCCUGGGCAGAGAUAGCUCCCAUGAAGAACUGCCGGGAGCACUUUGUGCUCGGAGCAGUGGACGAAUACCUAUAUGCAGUAGGAGGCAGAAAUGAGUUGCGUCAAGUCCUACCUACUGUGGAACGCUAUUGUCCCAAGAAGAACAAGUGGACCUUUGUACAGUCCUUUGACCGAUCACUUUCAUGCCAUGCAGGAUAUGUGGUGGAUGGUCUUCUUUGGAUAUCAGGAGGAGUAACAAAUACUGCACAGUAUCAAAACAGGCUCAUGGUCUAUGAUCCCAAGCAGAACAAGUGGUUAAGCCGUAGCCCAAUGCUGCAGAGGAGAGUGUAUCACUCCAUGGCUGCUGUCCAAAGGAAACUCUAUGUGCUAGGUGGAAACGACCUGGACUACAACAAUGAUCGGAUCCUGGUUCGGCACAUUGACUCCUACAGCAUUGAUGCUGACCAGUGGACGCGUUGCAGCUUCAACAUGUUGACAGGUCAAAAUGAGUCUGGAGUUGCGGUCCACAAUGGUAGAAUAUAUUUAGUUGGCGGCUAUUCAAUUUGGACAAAUGAGCCUCUGGCAUGUAUCCAGGUGCUGGAUGUCAGCAAGGAAGGGAAGGAAGAAGUUUUCUAUGGGCCCACACUGCCAUUUGCUUCCAACGGGAUAGCAGCGUGCUUUCUUCCAGCUCCCUAUUUCACAUGCCCCAACCUUCAGACCCUGCAAGUGCCUCACCAUAGGAUCGGCACGAUGUGAGAUGAGGAACAUGUGCAUCAUCAGCAAUGACGUGGAGGGAGAAAAUCAAACCCCCUGUACGGAAGGGGUCUUCAGAUCUGCAAAAAGAAUCCACCCCCAUGGGCUGCUGCUUUACUGUCACACAUUUGUCUUAAUGUCGGACCACGAUAGGCAGGAAGGAAGGACUACAGGCAGGUGCUGUGCUGCACCCGAUGUCAGAAAGAGCCACACAGCCCUCGUAAGGUGAGCAAGCGGGCUUUGUGUCACCAGGUGAGAAGCAAAAAGGGUGGCAAUGCAGGAGGUGGGUGGAGGCUGGGACAGCCCAAUGUAACUGCAGCUGUGCAGGGUCCUGGCCAGCAAAGGCUGCCCGAGGCCUCCAAAUCUGCCUGUCCCUGUGCUGCCUCUUCUGCAUUGUGUCACUGACUUCUCAAACUGCACCAGCUACAAGUUCCUGUACACAAGUGCCAGUACUACCUCUUCUACUCCCAGGUUUGUACUGUUUUUGGCAAACAUAACCCUUUGAACCCGUGCACUCUAUCUGACCAGCAAGCAGUUUUGGUGUGUACCUCUGAGAAACCAUUCAGCUCAGUGUUCCUGCAGAGCCUUGAGGAUGCCCAGAAUAUCUCCACACUGGAUCAUUCUGUUCCUGGAGUGAGACCGGCACGGUGUGAAAGCAGCUGCCAGCACCAUUCACUCGGGCUCCCAUCUGGGAUGUUGUUCAAGGGAACGGAGUAGCUUCCAGCCAGCGGGAACUGGAGGUAUCUUUGCAACUGUGUAAUGCAGCAGCAUUGUGAACUGUUGAGUCUGGAUGCCAGUGCAGUUCUGUGCUUUUUCUUACAUUUACUGAUUAAAUCUGCUCCCAGCUGCAGGCAGCCUUUUGGGCCACAGGGUCUGGAGAGCUGUAAGGAAGCGCCUUUGCACUCUUACUCCUGUCCUGUGAUCCCAAUUGUUGGGUCAUUCUCAGCAUUUCAUUCUUUAUACAGCAUACCUCACCUUUGAGUCCUAAGGCAUCUUAUCAUCUCUUCUUAGUUAUAAUCACCACAACAGCCAUCAGCUGCUUUGUGCUUUUUAUCCAAAAUAUGCAGAUUCCAGAGGCAGCCUUGCAGGGUGCCAACAAUUGGCUGAGAUCAAUUGCAUGAACUUCAACAAAUGUCGUGUCCUGCAUUUUGGUUGCACCAACCCCGUGCAAUGCUACAGGCUUGAGGGAGAGUGGCUGGAAAGCUGUGUGAAGGAAA